AGAGUCAACAAAAUUAUUUUAAAAUUAUGCAAGAAGGCAGCUUCGACUUGAGCUUGUAAGCCAACAGCAAGCUUAAUUCAAAUAUUUAUUGAUCAUUCUUUCUAGCUGCGGACUUACCCAAUUCAACAAGGAAAUUGUAUGGACAUGGUCGUACGCCUGAUGCAUUGGCUAAUGAUUGUAUUGGUUGUUGGUGCAGUUGUUGUUGUUGUUGCUGCUGCUGCUGCUGUUGUUGUUGCUGCUGAUGCUGUUGUUGUUGUUGUUGUUGUUGCUGCAGCUGUUGCUGACCUUGCGGCAAUAGGUGCUGGCGUGUGCUAUGGCGCUGCGUUGUGACAACAUUCUCGGAAGUGUCAUCG